UUGAACUCGCUGUGAAGAUGCAGUGUACCCGCGGCAAGACGGAAAGACCCCGUGAACCUUUACUAUAGCUUGACACUGAACAUUGAGCCUUGAUGUGUAGGAUAGGUGGGAGGCUUUGAAGCGUGGACGCCAGUCUGCGUGGAGCCGACCUUGAAAUACCACCCUUUAAUGUUUGAUGUUCUAACGUGGACCCGUAAUCCGGGUUGCGGACAGUGUCUGGUGGGUAGUUUGACUGGGGCGGUCUCCUCCUAAAGAGUAACGGAGGAGCACGAAGGUUGGCUAAUCCUGGUCGGACAUCAGGAGGUUAGUGCAAUGGCAUAAGCCAGCUUGACUGCGAGCGUGACGGCGCGAGCAGGUGCGAAAGCAGGUCAUAGUGAUCCGGUGGUUCUGAAUGGAAGGGCCAUCGCUCAACGGAUAAAAGGUACUCCGGGGAUAACAGGCUGAUACCGCCCAAGAGUUCAUAUCGACGGCGGUGUUUGGCACCUCGAUGUCGGCUCAUCACAUCCUGGGGCUGAAGUAGGUCCCAAGGGUAUGGCUGUUCGCCAUUUAAAGUGGUACGCGAGCUGGGUUUAGAACGUCGUGAGACAGUUCGGUCCCUAUCUGCCGUGGGCGCUGGAGAACUGAGGGGGGCUGCUCCUAGUACGAGAGGACCGGAGUGGACGCAUCACUGGUGUUCGGGUUGUCAUGCCAAUGGCACUGCCCGGUAGCUAAAUGCGGAAGAGAUAAGUGCUGAAAGCAUCUAAGCACGAAACUUGCCCCGAGAUGAGUUCUCCCUGAGACUUAGAGUCUCCUGAAGGAACGUUGAAGACGACGACGUUGAUAGGCCGGGUGUGUAAGCGCAGCGAUGCGUUGAGCUAACCGGUACUAAUGAACCGUGAGGCUUAACCUUAC
rnacentral:rRNA from 1 species